AGAGUUUGAUCUGGCUCAGGACGAACGCUGGCGGCGUGCUUAACACAUGCAAGUCGAGCGGUGAACCCUUCGGGGGAUCAGCGGCGAACGGGUGAGUAACACGUGAGCAACCUGCCCCUGACUCUGGGAUAGCCUCGGGAAACCGGGAUUAAUACCGGAUAUGACAUCGCCUCGCAUGGGGUGGUGUGGAAAGUUUUUCGGUCGGGGAUGGGCUCGCGGCCUAUCAGCUUGUUGGUGGGGUGAUGGCCUACCAAGGCGACGACGGGUAGCCGGCCUGAGAGGGUGACCGGCCACACUGGGACUGAGACACGGCCCAGACUCCUACGGGAGGCAGCAGUGGGGAAUAUUGCGCAAUGGGCGGAAGCCUGACGCAGCGACGCCGCGUGAGGGAUGAAGGCCUUCGGGUUGUAAACCUCUUUCAGCAGGGAAGAAGCGCAAGUGACGGUACCUGCAGAAGAAGCACCGGCUAACUACGUG
rnacentral:rRNA from 1 species